rnacentral:rRNA from 1 species
UACAGAGGUCUCAAGCGUUGUUCGGAUUCAUUGGGCGUAAGGGGUGCGUAGGCGGCGCGGUAAGUCGGGUGUGAAAUCUCGGGGCUUAACUCCGAAACUGCAUUCGAUACUGCCGUGCUUGAGGACUGGAGAGGAGACUGGAAUUUACGGUGUAGCGGUGAAAUGCGUAGAUAUCUGGAGGAACACCGGUGGCGAAGGCGGCAUCCUGGACCAAUUCUGACACUGAGGAGCGAAAGCCAGGGGAGCAAACGGG